UACGAAGGGGGCUAGCGUUGCUCGGAAUUACUGGGCGUAAAGGGCGCGUAGGCGGAUUGACAAGUUGGGGGUGAAAGCCCGGGGCUCAACCUCGGAAUUGCCUUCAAAACUGUCAGUCUAGAGUACGGGAGAGGUGUGUGGAACUCCGAGUGUAGAGGUGAAAUUCGUAGAUAUUCGGAAGAACACCAGUGGCGAAGGCGACACACUGGCCCGUUACUGACGCUGAGGCGCGAAAGCGUGGGGAGCAAACAGG
rnacentral:rRNA from 1 species